rnacentral:lncRNA from 1 species
GAUCCACAUUUGCAAAUGUGCAGCCUGCAGUGUGAAAAACAGCACCAUCUGUUCUGGAAGGAGCUGGAACUUCCACAAGGCUGUGAUGAGACCACAUGUGCUGGGAGCUGGGAGGACAGGAAGCAGGUGUGGUACCUGCAUUAUCUCAUUCAUCAGACCCUGACACUUUCCAGAGAAGAGUCUGUUCAUUUUCCCAUCUUCCAGAUGAGAAAGAGCUUUGGUUGCUAGAAGCUUGUAAUUAACACCUGAGACGGGAUGAAAUGGCUCUCCUGCACCAUAUGCGUCUCUGGCCUUAAACAGAGGGAACAGCUCCUGAGUGUGGCUGCCUUCCAUUUGCUGACGAGCAUCUGGCAUUUGUUGGGGGAAAAAAAAUCUCCCAAAUCCACCUCUAGCUCUGAGAUUUUACCAGCACC